UAGGGAAUCUUCGGCAAUGGACGAAAGUCUGACCGAGCAACGCCGCGUGAGUGAAGAAGGUUUUCGGAUCGUAAAACUCUGUUGUUAGAGAAGAACAAGGACGUUAGUAACUGAACGUCCCCUGACGGUAUCUAACCAGAGAGCCACGGCUAACUACGUGCCAGCAGCCGCGGUAAUACGUAGGUGGCAAGCGUUGUCCUGAUUUAUUGGGCGUAAAGCGAGCGCAGGCGGUUUCUUAAGUCUGAUGUGAAAGCCCCCGGCUCAACCGGGGAGGGUCAUUGGAAACUGGGGGGCUUGAGUGCAGAAGAGGAGAGUGGAAUUCAAUGUGUAGCGGUGAAAUGCGUAGAUAUAUGGAGGAACACCAGUGGCGAAGGCGACUCUCUGGUCUGUAACUGACGCUGAGGCUCGAAAGCGUGGGGAGCAAACAGG
rnacentral:rRNA from 1 species